UUUAAUAAUUUUCUUUAUAAAUUUUCACUUUAUAAAUCUAUUCUUAGAUAGAUAAAAUUUAAACCAUUGUCUGAGGUCUUUUUUACUGUAAUCCCGAAAAAUUCUGAUAGUUAUAAAAAAACCUAUUUUUUUUAUCAUCUUCAAAGUAAAAUUCCGUGUGCACGUUUUAGAUUGAAUUGAAACUAAAAUUGUAAGGUGAGUCACGUGACCAAGAAACUAUUUUGUUUGAUUUGCUGUUUCAAAACUUCACCAAGAAACCGAUUGCUAUCACGAACAUCAACUUAAUCUUCAUACCUAAAAAUAUAUUUUUAGAUAUACCUACGUCAAACAUGUCAAGUUUUUUUUUUCUUUUAGUUCAAUGCUACCUUCGAUCAACAAUACUAACUAGAUUUCGGGUCGGUGCAUAAAAUCCGUCUCGUCAAAUAACAGCGCACUUGAAAUGUGAGCUCUUAUUUUGUUUAGUUCACUUCAAACACAGCCAAUGUCAACCCGUCUCACAAUACCGCAGUAUGUAUUUAAAAGUUGCAAAAAUUAGGCCCGAAAAAGCAAUUUAACGGCCGGAGUAUCUUACUUUCGCUUUCCUAGCAAUCACGUGUGCAGAAUGGAUCUCGAUUGUCGCCAGAGAAACAAGAGAUGACUUUUAUAAGCCAGCUAAGAUCUCCGCUCAUUGACACUGGACAUCUUUGCCUUCCGUGCUCACGGCUACUGAAACGUGGCCGAAACAUUGUAAUAAAAAUACCACGCUUGAAACCGUUUAAA